CCUACGGGGGGCUGCAGUAGGGAAUCUUCCACAAUGGGCGCAAGCCUGAUGGAGCAACACCGCGUGAGUGAAGAAGGGUUUCGGCUCGUAAAGCUCUGUUGUUGGAGAAGAACGUGCGUGAGAGUAACUGUUCACGCAGUGACGGUAUCCAACCAGAAAGGCACGGCUAACUACGUGCCAGCAGCCGCGGUAAUACGUAGGUGGCAAGCAUUAGCCGGAUUUAUUGGGCGUACAGCGAGCGCAGGCGGUUGCUUAGGUCUGAGGUGAAAGCCUUCGGCUUAACCGAAGAAGUGCAUCGGAAACCGGGCGCCUUGCGUGCAGCCGCGGACAGUGGAACUCCAUGUGUAGCG
rnacentral:rRNA from 1 species